GAUGAACGCUAGCGACAGGCCUAACACAUGCAAGUCGAGGGGCAUCAGGGUUGUAGCUUGCUACAAUUGCUGGCGACCGGCGCACGGGUGAGUAACACGUAUGCAACCUACCUACUACAGGGGGAUAGCCCGGAGAAAUUCGGAUUAAUACCGCAUAAUACAUUAGAUUUGCAUAAAUUUGAUGUUAAAGAUUUAUCGGUAGUAGAUGGGCAUGCGUUCCAUUAGCUAGUUGGUAAGGUAAUGGCUUACCAAGGCUACGAUGGAUAGGGGAACUGAGAGGUUUAUCCCCCACACUGGGACUGAGACACGGCCCAGACUCCUACGGGAGGCAGCAGUGAGGAAUAUUGGUCAAUGGUCGAGAGACUGAACCAGCCAAGUCGCGUGAAGGAAGACGGUCCUACGGAUUGUAAACUUCUUUUAUAUAGGAGUAAAAGAUGGGAUGUAUCCUAUAUUGCAAGUACUAUAUGAAUAAGCAUCGGCUAACUCCGUGCCAGCCGCCGCCGUAACAC
rnacentral:rRNA from 1 species